AAUGAAUGUGGGAAUUUUUCUAAUUUCCCUGAUAUUCCCUGCCCUACUCACACAUAAUACACUUCAAUACUCUACCAUGUACAUGAUGCCUUGCCUCCUGAGGAAGCUGUGAAAAAAAUGCAACUUGGUAAAAUACUGAAAUACUUUGGUGUUGAACACCUUAAGAAAGUACAGGAUGGCAGGAUUCCUGUACUUUGCAGUGCUGUGAUUUUCUGGGAGGAAUAUAAAAAUAUCAACAGGGCCAUACUUGGUGAGUCUAUGAAUGCAUGUACUCAAAUAACCUUCUGCAUGAAAAAGGCAUGAUGUGAGCCCUUCUGCCUGAUUUUACUUCCUCAUCAGGAUAGUGGGCUGGAUGUCUGCACAGCAUUACUCCGCAAAAGUCUUCCACAUUCAUAGCUGCCAGACACCAAAGCAAUAGAAAUGUCAGCUGAUAACUAAACAUCAAGUGUAUCAUUUUCAGUUUUGCUAAACCAAAAGAUUGAUAGAGAUUUCAGGUGAGCAGAGACAUCACAGUAAAGACACAGUCAGCAGCUCAACCACCCCAAUAAGAAACUCAGAAGCAACAUUUCAGGGGUUGUCUUAUGUCUUUUUUUUUUUUCUUUCACUUGAAGGAAUCUCUUUUUUGUCUGUUUUUCCUAUUUAUUUGGCACAUAGAGCUCUCCUUCCCCAUACUCACAGCUUUGCACAUUUUUCCUUUACAACUCACUUUUCCCUUUCAACAUUUAUCAGGGCAACACUGGAACACAAAUGGUUUGUUGAAGGAAAAAAAGCCCCACAGCUGCCUUCAUCUGACUGAUAGCCCAGCAGAAACCUAUACUGUAAAUUAGAGGGCUUCUUCUCAGGUGCCAAUCAAGCACUUUUUCUGAACACUUAAAUUAAAA